GACGAACGCUGGCGGCGUGCUUAACACAUGCAAGUCGAACGGAAAGGCCCUGCUUUUGUGGGGUGCUCGAGUGGCGAACGGGUGAGUAACACGUGAGUAACCUGCCCUUGACUUUGGGAUAACUUCAGGAAACUGGGGCUAAUACCGGAUAGGAGCUCCUGCUGCAUGGUGGGGGUUGGAAAGUUUCGGCGGUUGGGGAUGGACUCGCGGCUUAUCAGCUUGUUUGUGGGGUAGUGGCUUACCAAGGCUUUGACGGGUAGCCGGCCUGAGAGGGUGACCGGCAACAUUGGGACUGAGAUACGGCCCAGAGUCCAACGGGAGGCAGCAGUGGGGAAUAUUGCACAAUGGGCGGAAGCCUGAUGCAGCAACGCCGCGUGCGGGAUGACGGCCUUCGGGUUGUAAACCGCUUUCGCCUGUGACGAAGCGUGAGUGACGGUAAUGGGUAAAGAAGCACCGGCUAACUACGUG
rnacentral:rRNA from 1 species